rnacentral:rRNA from 1 species
UACAGAGGUCUCAAGCGUUGUUCGGAUUCAUUGGGCGUAAAGGGUGCGUAGGUGGUAUCGUAAGUCGGAUGUGAAAUCUUGGGGCUCAACCCCGAAACUGCAUUCGAUACUGCGGUGCUUGAGGACUGGAGAGGAGAUUGGAAUUCACGGUGUAGCAGUGAAAUGCGUAGAUAUCGUGAGGAAGGCCAGUGGCGAAGGCGGAUCUCUGGACAGUUCCUGACACUGAGGCACGAAGGUCAGGGGAGCAAACGGG